rnacentral:lncRNA from 1 species
GACAGAGUGGGUUCCUUAAGCGAAGCCAGAAGGAUGGAGAUUUGGGAGAGUCAAGGAUUCUCAGGAGGAUAUGCUCUGCCUGGCAGGCUUGGGUAACUCCCAGGUAAGGUGAAACAGGGAAGGAUUUGGCCAGCUUUGCAACAGAGUGAAGAAGAAUGGAGAGAGAGGAACUGGAAUCAGGGAGAUGGGUGAGGAAGUUGUUGCAAGGUGGAAGAGUUGUCAAAAAGCUAAGGGUGUGGCACAAAAUAAAGAGACAUUGAGGGGGCACAACAGCAGAGACAUACAGCCACCAACUGGAGGUGGAGGAUGAGGAUGGCAAUAACAACAGCCUCCAGCCCCCACAGUGUGGGAACGGUUCUCAGGGAUGCCCCACAGGCAGGUUCCAGCAGCGAGGUACAGCCCUUGACUUGGAUCCAGCCUGGAGGGUGAAACGUCCAUGGCACCCAGAACUCCACAGAGACACUCAAGAAUGGGGAUGACAAAGGGGUCGUCAUGUCCCCUCUGCAGCCAACUGAUGCCAUUUUCUGAGGGUUUCCUACCAGAGAAGGAAGCCUCAAGGUUUGUCUACUUAAACACUG